rnacentral:rRNA from 1 species
GACGAACGCUGGCGGCGUGCUUAACACAUGCAAGUCGAACGGUGAAGCGCCUUCCUUUUUGGUGGGUGUGGAUGAGUGGCGAACGGGUGAGUAACACGUGAGUAACCUGCCCCCUUCUUCUGGAUAACCGCAUGAAAGUGUGGCUAAUACGGGAUAUUCUGGGUCUGUCGCAUGAUGGGUCUGGGAAAGAUAUUGUUUCGGUGGGGGAUGGGUUCGCGGCCUAUCAGCUUGUUGGUGGGGUGAUGGCCUACCAAGGCGGUGACGGGUAGCCGGGCUGAGAGGGUAGACGGUCACACUGGGACUGAGACACGGCCCAGACUCCUACGGGAGGCAGCAGUGGGGAAUAGUGCACAAUGGGCGCAAGCCUGAUGCAGCGACGCCGCGUGAGGGAUGGAGGCCUUCGGGUUGUGAACCUCUUUCGCCAGUGAAGCAGGCCUGCCUCGUUUGUGGGUGGGUUGACGGUAGCUGGAUAAGAAGCGCCGGCUAACUACGUG